GAGUGUCCUCUUUUUAACUGGACAGCAUUUUAUAACGUUUAUGAUUUUCGUAAGCAUUCCUGUAGCGUGACCCUUGACUUGCUGAGAUGCUACGCGGUAUGAGUACCUUGAGAGAAGGGCGCUACCUGAGUCACCAUCUGAAAGGGAAAGAUUGAUAAAAGAAGUUCUGCUAGUAAUUGCUGAUGAAGUUGGGGUUGAGCCUCCUGCUGAGUUGUCUGGAGAUGAAAAUCUUGAAACCGAUCAUCCACCAAGAUUAAUCCUUUCUAGGAUAUCAGAAUCUCUUGAGAUAGAAAGAAAAGAAACCUCAUCUUGUCCUAAAGAUGGAGAAAUUUUACCUUCAGGUCCAAAUAGCAAGAGCAACAGUAUUGCAUUUGCUGUUGCUCAAUCAGAUCUAAUUACUAAUAAAGUUCAAAAUGGGGGAAAUAUUGCUGGAGUGUCUAAUAAUUUACAAGGUUAAUGAAUUUGAUCUUUAAUACAAAGUUUUGUCAGAGGACAAACAUCACUUUGCACUUGCGUAUUUGUCAGAGGACAAACAUCUGUUAUUGGAUUGAAUAAUUGAAUAGUUAAGUUCCUCAAGGUUUCUAGAUUG